GCCGCAAUUAAUUCUUCUUCAACCCUCAAAUAAUCGAUAGAAACCCUAAAAUUAUGAAAAUCUCACACAAAAUAUGCCGCCUCCGCCUCUACGCUGUGAAUCGGUGAUUUCCAGCCACAACUACUUCGAUAAUUGGCGAUUUCCAGCCACAACUACUUCAAGAAUCGGCGAUCUGAAACCAAAAGUUAAUUCCCAUCAACGAUCGGUGAAUAAUCGCGAUUAUGAAGGGACGGCGACGGCGAAUCGAAAGGAAACCCUCGAAAAUCCAAUUUCACCGACGAUUAGAAGGGAUUUGCUUGGCGAAACGAAGGAUAUUUGUUGGCGAUUGUGAACGGAGUUUAGCUGCUUGUUUCUCCGACUACACCUAGUUUUGGUGAAAGUAAAUAAGGGGGUGAAGGCCCUGAGCCGGAAUCGUUUGCGAAUAUCGUGGAAUACUUAAACUUGAAGCAGAAGAGGGAUAUUAUGGAAAUGGCUUCGGUGCCCUAAUCAACUUCAAAUUGAACUACAUACCUCCGAGACUCGGGUAUUGGCUUGUAGCAUAUUUCAAUCCAGUAGCUUGUGGCCUACCUAUAGGAGGGUCUGAGACUGAUUGCAAGCACAUCGACAAAGUUGAUGUGAACUCUUGGUGUUUUGAACAUGAAUUCUGGUUUGGUUGAUGUAUAUUUGGUAGCUACUCGUACUGAAAAAUGGUGGUUUUAUUAUGAUGUAGACAAUGUUGGAGAUGUAAUUUGAAUGUCC